rnacentral:rRNA from 1 species
AGAGUUUGAUCAUGGCUCAGAACGAACGCUGGCGGCAGGCUUAACACAUGCAAGUCGAGGGGGCAGCAAUGUCACCGGCGAACGGGUGCGUAACGCGUAUGCAACCUGGCCAUAUCAGGGGGAUAGCCCUAGGAAACUGGGAUUAAUACCGCAUAAUACAGGGAUUGGCAUCAAUUUCUGUUGAAAGAUUUAUCGGAUAUGGAUGGGCAUGCGUAGGAUUAGCUAGUUGGUGGGGUAAAAGCCUACCAAGGCGACGAUCUUUAGCUGGUCUGAGAGGAUGAUCAGCCACACUGGGACUGAGACACGGCCCAGACUCCUACGGGAGGCAGCAGUGGGGAAUAUUGGACAAUGGGCGAAAGCCUGAUCCAGCAAUGCCGCGUGAGUGAUGAAGGCCCUAGGGUUGUAAAGCUCUUUUACCAGGGAUGAUAAUGACAGUACCUGGAGAAUAAGCUCCGGCUAACUCCGUGCCAGCAGCCGCGGUAAUA